rnacentral:rRNA from 1 species
AUUGAACGCUGGCGGCAGGCCUAACACAUGCAAGUCGAACGAGUGGCGGACGGGUGAGUAAUGUCUGGGAAACUGCCUGAUGGAGGGGGAUAACUACUGGAAACGGUAGCUAAUACCGCAUACCAUCGGAUGUGCCCCGUUGGGAUUAGCUAGUUGGUGGGGUAACGGCUCACCUUGCCGACGAUCCCUAGCUGGUCUGAGAGGAUGACCAGCCACACUGGAACUGAGACACGGUCCAGACUCCUACGGGAGACAGCAGUGGGGAAUAUUGCGCAAUUGGCGCAAGCCUGACGCAGCCAUGACGCGUGUAUGAAGAAGGCCUUCGGGUUGUAAAGCGCUUGCAGCGGGGAGGCGUUACCCGCAGAAGAAGCACCGGCUAACUCCGUUCCAGCAGCCGCGGUAAUAC